rnacentral:pre_miRNA from 1 species
GAGACACCCUUAUGGAGCAGGACUUGCUUCAGUGGGGCAUUGGUGCUCUCUGAGGCUGUUCCUUGAGUGUGUCAUU